CAAAAAGCAAAAGUUACAAAAAGGGUCAUAAUCACUUGAGAUCGUCCAUCAGAAGUGUUAACAUAGAUCUCUAUGCCGAUGAGGAUUUGGGCAACACACCUAUGAACGAAGAAGUGAAGGAGGAGAUUGUAGUUUACCUAUUCCAGUGAAGGGCAAGAUAGAGACUUUAAAUCAAGCAUUAGAUAUCUUUGGGAUGAAUGUGAUUGUGGAAGCAAGUUUUUUGUUAUGACCAAGCAAAAAUAACAUCACAUAUCAAGGAUCGUGAUCUCCGAUCCAGAAAUUUUGCCAACCAGUUAGAAGCGGCUACCUUGGAACAAAUAGUUCUAAUUCCGUAUAAUACUGGGUAAAUAAAUAAGAUUAACACAUUAUUAUGUUUUUCAUUGAGGUUAAAUGUAUACUCACAUUGAAGAUGUUUAUUGUAGUUUUCAUUGGAUGUUGCAUGUCAUCGAUCUUCGAGAGAACUGUGUUUAUGUUUUGGACUCUCUUCGAAGUAAAGUUAACGAAGACAUCCAUGGAGUCAUAAAUGUGACUUAUGAUU